GGGGGUGUUUUGGAUUCGACUUGUGAAUAUCGGGAAUGACAAGCAUACCGAAGGCUCGGCUUCGUAAAAACGGAACUUAAAAUUAAACGCUGAUAACAGAAGUUUAAGCUUAGCAGCCGCUUAAUGGCUGCCGUCCCCUCCAUAGGCCUACGAAUGGAUGCGGGGCGUCGUAAGUAGGGAACGGCGUGUCAGAGUAGCCUUGUAUGACGCGCAGCUUCAAAGGCUUGGCGACGGAAGGGCUUGCUUUAUUGACCUUCCCAAGCGACAACAAACCAAUAAAGCUAAGUAUGUAGAAAAUCAUUUCAAAUAUCAUAAGGACCGGGGUUCAACUCCCCGCACCUCCACCA
rnacentral:tmRNA from 1 species